rnacentral:misc_RNA from 1 species
UGCAAGGAAGAACCUGGCUAAAGUGAUAUCCAUGGCAACCAUUUUAGAUGAUACUUAUGAUAACUAUGCCACGUGUGAAGAACUUGAACUCCUUACGGAAGCUACACAAAGGUGGGAUAUUAAGGCCAAUGAUAUACUUCCAGAGUACAUGAAAAUGAUUUAUAGCACUCUCAUUGAUUUCUUCAAUGAAAUUGAAGAGAGCAUGGCAAAAG